GCAAGUCGAGCGGAGACAUACGACGGAUUUGAAGUUUUCGGAUGGAGAUGAAGAUGUAUGUUUUAGCGGCGGACGGGUGAGUAACGCGUGAGCAACCUGUCCUUCACAGGGGGAUAACACAGCGAAAGUUGUACUAAUACCGCAUAAGACCACAGAGCCACAUGGCUCAGGGGUCAAAGGAGCAAUCCGGUGAAGGGUGGGCUCGCGCCCGAUUAGAUAGUUGGUGAGGCAACGGCCCACCAAGUCGACGAUCGGUAGCCGACCUGAGAGGGUGAUCGGCCACAUUGGGACUGAGACACGGCCCAAACUCCUACGGGAGGCAGCAGUGGGGGAUAUUGCGCAAUGGGGGAAACCCUGACGCAGCAAUGCCGCGUGGAGGAUCGAAGGUCUUCGGAUUGUAAACUCCUUUUGUCAGGGACGAAAAAUGACGGUACCUGACGAAUAAGCUCCGGCUAACUACGUGCCAGCAGCCGCGGUAAUACGUAGGGAGCGAGCGUUGUCCGGAUUUACUGGGUGUAAAGGGUGCGCAGGCGGCUUUGCAAGUCAGCUGUGAAAUCUAUGGGCUCAACCCAUAAAUUGCAGUUGAAACUGUAGAGCUUGAGUGAAGUAGAGGUAGGCGGAAUUCCCAGUGUAGCGGUGAAAUGCGUAGAGAUUGGGAGGAACACCAGUGGCGAAGGCGGCCUACUGGGCUUUAACUGACGCUGAGGCACGAAAGCAUGGGUAGCAAACAGGAUUAGAUACCCUGGUAGUCCAUGCCGUAAACGAUGAUUACUAGGUGUGGGGGGAUUGACCCCUUCCGUGCCGCAGUUAACACAAUAAGUAAUCCACCUGGGGAGUACGGCCGCAAGGUUGAAACUCAAAGGAAUUGACGGGGGCCCGCACAAGCAGUGGAGUAUGUGGUUUAAUUCGAAGCAACGCGAAGAACCUUACCGGGGCUUGACAUCCUGCGAAUCUUUCAGAGAUGAGAGAGUGCCCUUCGGGGAACGCAGAGACAGGUGGUGCAUGGUUGUCGUCAGCUCGUGUCGUGAGAUGUUGGGUUAAGUCCCGCAACGAGCGCAACCCUUGCUGUUAGUUGCUACGCAAGAGCACUCUAACAGGACUGCCGUUGACAAAACGGAGGAAGGUGGGGACGACGUCAAAUCAUCAUGCCCCUUAUGUCCCGGGCUACACACGUACUACAAUGGCCGUAAACAAAGGGAAGCAAUGGAGCGAUCCGGAGCAAACCCCCAAAAACGGUCCCAGUUCAGAUUGUAGGCUGCAACUCGCCUACAUGAAGUUGGAAUUGCUAGUAAUCGCAGAUCAGCAUGCUGCGGUGAAUACGUUCCCGGGCCUUGUACACACCGCCCGUCACACCAUGGGAGCCGGUAAU
rnacentral:rRNA from 1 species